CAUUUGUGAAGGCUCAUAGGUAUGGAACAGAGGUGACAGGAGAAUCUGCAUGACCUGUCUGAGAGGAAACACCCAGACAGGUCAAAGAAAUCUCAGAAAUUAAGCUGAAGGAGAUAUGCUGAGAGGUUUAGACUAAGGGUGAGUCGGCAAAGGUGUAUUCAAAUAUAUCUAUGUUUUGGUAAAAUGUCUUUGUUUAUAUGUACUUUAUGAAUGUUCAGUGCAGGACAGCUCUUCUAUGGGAACACAAAGAUGAUCCAGUCCCCCACAGAAGCCAGAUCACUGGCUGGCUGAUGACGAAUUUCUUGAGGAUGGUGGGCCAUGAAGUCCAAGGAGAUAAAUGGACUGUAAAAACUGUUCACCACAACACGCAGCAAGAUGCCAGUAGCUGUGGGAUUUAGGUGUUAAAGUUUGCAGAAGGGUUUCUCAACAAUGGAGACAUCGCAAGCAUCCAGACACAUCCUGCAGAGGUUUUAAAGGCUCAAUGGGAAGCAGCAUGUGCCCUCCUACAGGUGGGAGGUCUGUGGAAAGAAACAUGAAGCCACCACGGAUGGGAUCAAUACGGACACCGAAUUUCCCUCACAAGAUCAAAAUAGUGAAUAUAGUGUAUAUGUCAA